GUCUACGGCCAUGCCACCCUGAACAAGCCGGAAGUCUGAUCUUGGAAGCUAAGCAGGGCCGGGCCUGGUUAGUACUUGGAUGGGAGACCACCUAGGAAGACCAGGUGCUGUAGGCA
rnacentral:rRNA from 1 species